rnacentral:rRNA from 1 species
GACGAACGCUGGCGGCGUGCUUAACACAUGCAAGUCGAACGGAAAGGCCCUGCUUUUGUGGGGUGCUCGAGUGGCGAACGCGUGAGUAACACGUGAGUAACCUGCCCUUGACUUUGGGAUAACUUCAGGAAACUGGGGCUAAUAUCGGAUAGGAGCUCCUGCUUCAUGGUGGGGGUUGGAAAGUUGGGGCGGUUGGGGAUGGACUCGCGGUAUAUCAGCUUGUUGGUGGGGUGGUGGCUUACCCAGGCUUUGACGGGUAGCCGGCCGGAGAGGGUGACGGGCCCAAGAGGCGCAGGGGAGGACCCAGUAGGCAUUCUGGGGGAAGGAGGGGAGACUUACCCAAAAAGGCCGGAGGCGUAGAGAAGAGACCCCGGGUGGGAAGGGCUGUUUUUUGGGAUGAAAAAGGUUUUGGCUUGUAAGUAAGCGUUGUGACGGUAACUGGAGAAAAAGGCACGGCUAACUUCGUG